CCAGAAGACAACAAAAGUCCAUGAAGAAGGGGGCACUUCUCAGCAACUCUCUGGAAACCAUCCAUAAGAACUGAACAAAAUUAUACUUCUUCAGCAUAAUUAAAAAGUACCAGCAGUUAACUUCCUCUUCAGGAAGGCGAAUGCAGGUGUACGAUUUAGUGAUUCAACAGUUGUGUACAACACCCGGUUCUCAUCGCAACAAGUACCCUCCUUAGUCCCUGAUUCUGGCAUUCUUAAAAGAAGACAGCAAUGAAGUCUGUCACAUGGAUUGACUCUUUCUUUCAGGAACAAUCCUCUGUAGCAUGUGAUGCUGUUUGAUAGCGUUUUACCCACCAUAGAGCUUCUUUCGAAACAUAGAGGGUCUGUCCUCUCAAAGCCUGCCGCUGCUUUAUUGACUAAAUUUAUGUGAUAUUCUAAAUCUUUUGUUGUCAUUUCAACCAUCUUCACAGCAUCUUCACCAGGCGUAGAUUCCAUCUCAAGAAACCACUUUCUCUGCUUAUUCACAAGAAGCAAUUCCUCAUCUCUUGAAGUUUUAUCCUGAGAUUGUGGCAUUUCAAAUAUAAUAAUAAGGAAAAAGCUUGAAGUAUUGUGAGAAUUACUAAAAUGUGACACACAGGACACAAACUGAGCAAACGCUGUUGGAGAAAUGAUGCCAACAGACUCGCUCCUUGCAAAGAGAGUGGCCACAAACCCUCAAUUUGUUACAAGAAAAAUUGCAAUAUCUGAGAAGUACAAUGA